UCCCUAGAGCCUCGAGCUCUCUAAAGGGUUGUUCUAGACUAGAACGUUGAUAGGCAGGGUGUGUAAGCGCUGUGAGGCGUUGAGCUAACCUGUACUAAUGGCCCGUGAGGCUUAACCAUACAACACCCAAGCGGUU
rnacentral:rRNA from 1 species